rnacentral:rRNA from 1 species
AAUGAGCCUGCGAGUUGUGGUGUCUGGCAAGGUUAAGCAAACGCGAAGCCGUAGCGAAAGCGAGUCUGAAUAGGGCGCUUAGUCAGAUGCUGCAGACCCGAAACGAAGUGAUCUAUCCAUGAGCAAGUUGAAGCUAGUGUAAGAACUAGUGGAGGACUGAACCCAUAGGCGUUGAAAAGCCCCGGGAUGACUUGUGGAUAGGGGUGAAAGGCCAAUCAAACUUCGUGAUAGCUGGUUCUCUCCGAAAUAUAUUUAGGUAUAGCGUUGUGUCGUAAUAUAAGGGGGUAGAGCACUGAAUGGGCUAGGGCAUACACCAAUGUACCAAACCCUAUCAAACUCCGAAUACCUUAUAUGUAAUCACAGCAGUCAGGCGGCGAGUGAUAAAAUCCGUCGUCAAGAGGGAAACAACCCAGACUACCAGCUAAGGUCCCUAAAUCUUACUUAAGUGGAAAACGAUGUGAAGUUACUUAAACAACCAGGAGGUUGGCUUAGAAGCAGCCAUCCUUUAAAGAAAGCGUAAUAGCUCACUGGUCUAGUGAUUUUGCGCGGAAAAUAUAACGGGGCUAAAGUAAGUACCGAAGCUGUAGACUUGCACACAACUUAGAUUAUUUAAGUUUAGAAUAUGAGAAACUAAGUUAUAUGUUUAGUUAUAUUUUUACUGAUUUUUAUAGAGUAAAGAUAGAAAUAAAACUUAGUAAAAUCAGUAAAAAUAUUCUUAGACUAAAGUUAAGUAGUUUAAGUUGUGUGCAAGUGGUAGGAGAGCGUUCUAUUUGCGUCGAAGGUAUACCGGUAAGGAGUGCUGGAGCGAAUAGAAGUGAGCAUGCAGGCAUGAGUAGCGAUAAUUAAUGUGAGAAUCAUUAACGCCGUAAACCCAAGGUUUCCUACGCGAUGCUCGUCAUCGUAGGGUUAGUCGGGUCCUAAGUCGAGUCCGAAAGGGGUAGACGAUGGCAAAUUGGUUAAUAUUCCAAUACCAACAUUAGUGUGCGAUGGAAGGACGCUUAGGGCUAAGGGGGCUAGCGGAUGGAAGUGCUAGUCUAAGGUCGUAGGAGGUUAUACAGGCAAAUCCGUAUAACAAUACUCCGAGAACUGAAAGGCUUUUUGAAGUCUUCGGAUGGAUAGAAGAACCCCUGAUGCCGUCGAGCCAAGAAAAGUUUCUAAGUUUAGCUAAUGUUGCCCGUACCGUAAACCGACACAGGUGGGUGGGAUGAGUAUUCUAAGGCGCGUGGAAGAACUCUCUUUAAGGAACUCUGCAAAAUAGCACCGUAUCUUCGGUAUAAGGUGUGGUUAGCUUUGUAUUAGGAUUUACUCCGAAAGCAAGGAAACUUACAACAAAGAGUCCCUCCCGACUGUUUACCAAAAACACAGCACUCUGCUAACUCGUAAGAGGAUGUAUAGGGUGUGACGCCUGCCCGGUGCUCGAAGGUUAAUUGAUGGGGUUAGCAUUAGCGAAGCUCUUGAUCGAAGCCCGAGUAAACGGCGGCCGUAACUAUAACGGUCCUAAGGUAGCGAAAUUCCUUGUCGGUUAAAUACCGACCUGCAUGAAUGGCGUAACGAGAUGGGAGCUGUCUCAAAGAGGGAUCCAGUGAAAUUGUAGUGGAGGUGAAAAUUCCUCCUACCCGCGGCAAGACGGAAAGACCCCGUGGACCUUUACUACAGCUUGACACUGCUACUUGGAUAAGAAUGUGCAGGAUAGGUGGGAGGCUUUGAGUAUAUGACGCCAGUUGUAUAUGAGCCAUUGUUGAGAUACCACUCUUUCUUAUUUGGGUAGCUAACCAGCUUGAGUUAUCCUCAAGUGGGACAAUGUCUGGUGGGUAGUUUGACUGGGGCGGUCGCCUCCCAAAUAAUAACGGAGGCUUACAAAGGUUGGCUCAGAACGGUUGGAAAUCGUUCGUAGAGUAUAAAGGUAUAAGCCAGCUUAACUGCAAGACAUACAAGUCAAGCAGAGACGAAAGUCGGUCUUAGUGAUCCGGUGGUUCUGUGUGGAAGGGCCAUCGCUCAAAGGAUAAAAGGUACCCCGGGGAUAACAGGCUGAUCUCCCCCAAGAGCUCACAUCGACGGGGAGGUUUGGCACCUCGAUGUCGGCUCAUCGCAUCCUGGGGCUGGAGCAGGUCCCAAGGGUAUGGCUGUUCGCCAUUUAAAGCGGUACGCGAGCUGGGUUCAGAACGUCGUGAGACAGUUCGGUCCCUAUCUGCCGUGGGCGUAAGAAGAUUGAAGAGAUUUGACCCUAGUACGAGAGGACCGGGUUGAACAAACCACUGGUGUAGCUGUUGUUCUGCCAAGAGCAUCGCAGCGUAGCUAAGUUUGGAAAGGAUAAACGCUGAAAGCAUCUAAGCGUGAAGCCAACUCUAAGAUGAAUCUUCUCUAAGCUCUCUAGAAGACUACUAGUUUGAUAGGCUGGGUGUGUAAUGGAUGAAAGUCCUUUAGCUGACCAGUACUAAUAGAGCGUUUGGCUUAUCUUUAAUAAAGCAU